rnacentral:rRNA from 1 species
GAUGAACGCUGGCGGCGUGCUUAACACAUGCAAGUCGAGCGAUGAAGUUUCCUUCGGGAAACGGAUUAGCGGCGGACGGGUGAGUAACACGUGGGUAACCUGCCUCAUAGAGUGGAAUAGCCUUCCGAAAGGAAGAUUAAUACCGCAUAACGUUGAAAGAUGGCAUCAUCAUUUAACCAAAGGAGCAAUCCGCUAUGAGAUGGACCCGCGGCGCAUUAGCUAGUUGGUGGGGUAACGGCCUACCAAGGCGACGAUGCGUAGCCGACCUGAGAGGGUGAUCGGCCACAUUGGGACUGAGACACGGCCCAGACUCCUACGGGAGGCAGCAGUGGGGAAUAUUGCACAAUGGGGGAAACCCUGAUGCAGCAACGCCGCGUGAGUGAUGAAGGUUUUCGGAUCGUAAAGCUCUGUCUUUGGGGAAGAUAAUGACGUACCCAAGAGAAGUMCCGAYWUUGG